rnacentral:tRNA from 1 species
UCAGGAAAGAGAUUAUGUCUCAUUUUUGAUAUCCAAAAUCAAUAUUUUUAUUAAAUUAUUUCCUG